rnacentral:rRNA from 1 species
UGCAAUCUACCUUGUACAGGGGGAUAGCCCAGAGAAAUUUGGAUUAAUACCCCAUAGUGUAACGAAAAGGCAUCUUUUUGUUACUAAAGUUCCAACGGUACAAGAUGAGCAUGCGUCCCAUUAGCUAGUUGGUGUGGUAACGGCAUACCAAGGCAACGAUGGGUAGGGGUCCUGAGAGGGAGAUCC